GUCUAUGGCCAUGCCACCCUGAACAUGCCCGAUUUCAUCUGAUCUCGGAAGCUAAGCAGGGUUGGGCCUGGUUAGUACUUGGAUAGGAGACCACCUGGGAAUACCAGGUGUUGUAGGUG
rnacentral:rRNA from 1 species